UAUACUAAUUAAGCUGUUUUUGAGACAGCAGGUGCCGCAAGGCAUAACGGGUUUUACCCCCCUGCCGAGAAACGUGCGUUUGAUUGCAAUGCUUUCAAGCCCUUUCCCGGCGACGGGAAGGGGCUUUUUUCUGUAUAU
rfam:Subdoligranulum sp. 60_17 Ley3_66761_scaffold_1016, whole genome shotgun sequence.